rnacentral:tRNA from 2 species
GGGGCGGUAGUUUAGCUGGGAGAACAUCACGUUCGCAACGUGAAGGUCAGGGGUUCAAAUCCCCUCCGCUCCA